GAGGGUAUAGCUCAGUGGUAGAGUGCGCACUUAGCAUGCACCAGGUCCUAGGCUCAACCCCUAGUACCUCCA
rnacentral:tRNA from 1 species